GGCAGGGUUUGAAAAAGAUGAUUAUUAAAUUUGAAGAGAUUAGGGAGUUUUGUGUGCUGCGAGGAACGGGAUGGAAACGGAUUUCAAAUGAAACUGUGGAGGAAGUCGCUCUUGCCGUCAUGGAAUUCCAGUUCCCAAUAUUCUUCGUCAAAUGCUCGAGCGUUGUUAUUUGGCUUGUCUCUUCCUUGAUCGACACUACGAAAUGCUCUGCAAUCCAUUGUAAAGUGCUAUCCAGGUUCUGCAAGACCUGCAUCCUGCUCACCUGGACAAAAGAACUGAAAUUGCUAGUCUUAUUUUGGUUAGAACAGCCUCUAACAAUGCAUGGCUUUGGAAAAUUUUGGGUUCGGACAAGUCGCAUUUUACCUUAAACGGAGCAGUUAACAAGUUAACUCUCAGAACUGUCGCAUAUGGGGUACUGCAAGUCUUAAUUUUGUGCAAGAACGUCGUUGCAUUCUGAUGACAUUACUGUAUGGUGUACUUUUACUGUUGAUUUCAAUCUUGGUCCUUUUUUCUUUAAGGAGAACUCUCCUCAAAGCCCCAAAGGGUGCCUUACUCCUCAAAGCCAUCAAGGGUGCCUUACUGCAAACUUCUUCAGCAGCAAGUCAUUACAAGAACGAUAGUAUUUAGAGGCUUCUGUCUUCGUGUAAGAUGGUGCACCACGCCACAUUGUCGGACCAGUGAAAGCUCUGCGAAGUGCCCACUUUGGAGAAGAUCGGUGAUUUCAAGAGACGUUUUCCGAUUGCCUGGCUUCCUCCUUCUCCAGGCUUGAAGCUCUGUGAUUUCUGGUUGUCGAUAUUCUUAAAAGAUCAUCUCUAUGGAGGAAGUAUACGGACUAUGCCUUAAAUGAAAGCAUGCUGCUGCAACUGAUCCAGAAUCCCUUCGCGCUACGGUUGAACACGCUUUGAACGUGUGAUUGACGCAAAUGGAAUGCACAUUGAACAAAUGCUGUGAUUAAGUGUACACAGAACUCAUAAGUUCUGCUUUGGCCCAUGGAGGUAAGAAUAAAAGGAGGCGCCAAACCCGCAGUACAACUGAAGCAGUGCUUCCAAGGUUUGGUCUUCAGAGGGUGUGUUUUUCGUUUACAUCCACAGCAUCCUUGACAGCGCUUUGAUAAAAUUUCUGCACACGACAGUUCCACACUAAUUGAAAAGCGGGGACACUUCCGUAUAAAAGAAAUAUUCACUGUUGGAUGGAGAAUACAAAUUUGUAUAGUUUAGUGGAGGUUUAUGCAAAAGUCACAUCUUGGUUGUUUCUCGGUAAUUUGCAACAGCGAUUGUGAUUAUGAAUUUGUUUUAUAAGAUUCCAAGCUACUGGACUGCAAAUAAAUAAAUAAAAUAAAAUAAAAUUUAG